GACGAACCGUGCGAACGUUGUUCGGAUUCACUGGGCUUAAAGGGCGCGUAGGCGGGGCCUCAAGUCAGGGGUGAAAUCCUCCGGCUCAACCGGAGAAGGGCUUCUGAGACUGAGGUUCUGGAGGGAGGUAGGGGUCGGGGGAACUUCCGGUGGAGCGGUGAAAUGCGUAGAGAUGUGGAGGAACACCGAUGGCGAAGGCAGCCCCCUGGGCUAACACUGACGCUCAGGCACGAAAGCGUGGGGAGCAAACAGG
rnacentral:rRNA from 1 species